rnacentral:sRNA from 2 species
UGAGAUUGCCAGUUGGAUAGAUGAUGUUGAACGUGGACAUGCAACAGUUAAAAAUCCGUCAAGAAAGAUGACAAAAAGAUUAAUGGAUAGAAAGGAGAAGAAGGAACGAAAAAGCGAACCUAUCUCUGCUUCUAACCCUUCUAUACAGACACCUCAGAUGCCAGCAGUUAUCUUCCCUCCCUCAACUCCUUCUUCAUCUAAUAUUGUGUCUCCAAGUGAGAUAAUCAAUGUGAUGGUGAUGAAAUAUAUGAUGGAAGGAAUGGGAGGCAUGGGAGGACUGAAUUCAAACUUGCCAUCGAAUCCAAACCUGCCGUCGAAUCCAAACCUGCCGUCGAAUCCAAAUCUGCCGUCGAAUCCAAAUCUGCCGUCGAAUCCAAACCUGCCUCCUAUUCGAAGUAGUCCAAUCCCUCAGUUUGGUGAACACGCGGAUCUGUUUAUUGAUGAGUUCUUCAACUGGUUGAUGACAGAGAGACCUCGAAGAGCAGAAGCUCUUUUAACUGCAAAGAGCAUUAUUCAGAAUGAAGGAUUUGAACUGGAUCAUAUACGGACAAUGACAAAUGAGCAGGUGGUUCAGUUGAAUAUUGGAAUGGGUAUAUUCUCGAUAAUAAGAGAUGGGUUAAAGAGUCCUAUCUGGCAGUCACGGUUGAAGG